rnacentral:misc_RNA from 1 species
CGCAUAUUGCGCCCUUUGGUAUUCCGAAGGGCAUGCCUGUUCGAGCGUCAUUAUCACCCCUCAAGCCCGGCUUGUUGUUGGACCAAGUCCCGUCACACGGACCGGUCCCAAAGAUAAUGACGGCGUCUGUGAGGACUCCAGUACACUGAGCUUUCGGGCACGUACUGUCAAGAAUCCAGGCUCCGUUUAACCAAAAAAUAGGUGCUUCGGCGCCCGUUUUUACUUCUAAGGUUGACCUCGGAUCAGGUAGGAAUACCCGCUGAACUUAA